CAGCCAGACUCCUACGGGAGGCAGCAGUGAGGAAUAUUGGUCAAUGGCCGAGAGGCUGAACCAGCCAAGUCGCGUGAGGGAAGACGGCCCUACGGGUUGUAAACCUCUUUUGUCGGGGAGCAAAGCGAGUCACGUGUGACUCAUUGAGAGUACCCGAAGAAAAAGCAUCGGCUAACUCCGUGCCAGCAGCCGCGGUAAUACGGAGGAUGCGAGCGUUAUCCGGAUUUAUUGGGUUUAAAGGGUGCGCAGGCGGAAUGUCAAGUCAGCGGUAAAAUUUCGGGGCUCAACCCCGUCGUGCCGUUGAAACUAGCGUUCUUGAGUGAGCGAGAAGUAUGCGGAAUGCGUGGUGUAGCGGUGAAAUGCAUAGAUAUCACGCAGAACUCCGAUUGCGAAGGCAGCAUACCGGCGCUCAACUGACGCUCAUGCACGAAAGCGUGGGUAUCGAACAGGAUUAGAUAACCUAGUA
rnacentral:rRNA from 1 species